GACGAACGCUGGCGGCGUGCUUGACACAUGCAAGUCGAACGGAAAGGCCUGCUUUCCCUUGUGGAUUGCGGGUACUCGAGUGGCGAACGGGUGAGUAACACGUGAGUGAUCUGCCCCCAACUUGGGUAUAAGCCUGGGAAACUGGGUCUAAUUCCCGAUAGGACUGCAGGGUGGUGCCUGUGGUGGAAAACGAUUUUCUAGUGGUUGGGGAUGAGCUCGCGGCCUAUCAGCUUGUUGGUGGGGUAAUGGCCUACCAAGGCGGCGACGGGUAGCCGGCCUGGGAGGGUGGACGGGCACAUUGGGACUGAGAUACGGCCCAGACUCCGACGGGAGGCAGCAGUGGGGAAUAGUGCACAAUGGGCGGAAGCCUGAUGCAGCGACGCCGCGUGGGCGAUGACGGCCUUCGGGUUGUAAACUCCUUUCGACAGCGAGGAAGCCACCUGGUUGGAAGGGUGGUGACGGUAGUGGUAGAAGAAGCACCGGCUAACUACGUG
rnacentral:rRNA from 1 species